rnacentral:tRNA from 1 species
GGGGAUGUAGCUCAGUUGGUAGAGUGCUUGCCUCGAAUGCACAAAGCCCUGGGUUCAACCCCCAACACCA